GUUUUAAUAAUUUAAAUAAAAUAUUAAUCUUGUAAAUUAAAAAUAAGAUAUUUCUUUUAAAACU
rnacentral:tRNA from 1 species